GGUGGGCAGACAGGGAGCAGAGGUCCUGACCAGUAGCUGGGGGUGGGGAGACUGGGGAGCAGGGAGCAAAGCAGUUACUUCCAUUUAAUUCUGUGCUAAGGUGCUGAGGCAGCGACUGCGCUGCUGGCGCCAAGGCCGAGCCCCAGGUGGAGGUGAACCUCCCCAGGCGCUGCCGGCCCCUGCAGCAGUCUGCGACGUCUUGGCGGUUCUGCGCAUUGCCUGGGUGAGGAUGCGGCUCUUCUUUCGGCUGCUCAAGCAGCCGGUCCCCAAACAGAUCGAGCGCUACUCCUGCUUCUCUCCGUCGCCGCUGUCAUUCAAACAGUUCCUGGACUUCGAGGAUGCCAUUCCAACGCCAGCAGGCUGAAUGCGGUUGUGAAACACCUGAAAAUAAAACAAAAAUGGAACUCAGCAUUGCCGAAGGAAAAUCAAGGAGAUGUCUACCUACUGGAAGUUUCUGAGACAGAGUGCCUGUUUUCCUGUACUUUUGCUACAUGGUUGUCACACUUAAUAGGUGAAAAUCAUGUUUACAUAGAAACUUUUUCUUGGCUUUUCAUUAUGGAAGAUUGUAAAAAUAAAAGUAGAAGGGAUAGUUUGAUGAACUCUUGGGUCAUUUAUAUUUGUAUAUGUUUGCAUAUGCAGGCUGUUAGGUUUACUUUACUUAUCAAAGUUAGGUUUGUUUCAGAAAGACAAUUUUUACUUUUUAUCCAGUAACACUAUUCUUUUGAGUUAACUUUCUUUCAAGAUUUGGUAUAUUCCUAUUAAACCUUCCAUGGGAAUCUAUGGUAUUGGUCUCUGUAUAUAACACAUUCUUAUUGCCUUCUCCCAUCCCUAUCAACCCCCACACCACAGUCCCUUUCCUAGAUUCAUGACUUUUGGUUUGCUUUUAUGUUCCAUUUAAUUGAACCAGAGCUGUCUGUGUGACCAUUGAAUU